AAAGUACUCCUUCCAUCCGGAAAUACUUGUCAUCAAAAUAAAUAAAUAAAGAUGUAUUUUAGUUCUAGAUACAUCCUUUUUUGUUCAUUUUGAUGACAAGUAUUUUCGGACGGAGGGAGUAUAUG
rnacentral:pre_miRNA from 1 species